AGUGAAUGCUGGCGGUAGGCCUAACACAUGCAAGUCGAACGGCAGCACAGUAAGAGCUUGCUCUUACGGGUGGCGAGUGGCGGACGGGUGAGGAAUACAUCGGAAUCUACUUUUUCGUGGGGGAUAACGUAGGGAAACUUACGCUAAUACCGCAUACGACCUACGGGUGAAAGCAGGGGAUCUUCGGACCUUGCGCGAUUGAAUGAGCCGAUGUCGGAUUAGCUAGUUGGCGGGGUAAAGGCCCACCAAGGCGACGAUCCGUAGCUGGUCUGAGAGGAUGAUCAGCCACACUGGAACUGAGACACGGUCCAGACUCCUACGGGAGGCAGCAGUGGGGAAUAUUGGACAAUGGGCGCAAGCCUGAUCCAGCCAUACCGCGUGGGUGAAGAAGGCCUUCGGGUUGUAAAGUCCUUUUGUUGGGAAAGAAAAGCAGCAGGUUAAUACCCCGCUGUUCUGACGGUACCCAAAGAAUAAGCACCGGCUAACUUCGUG
rnacentral:rRNA from 1 species